rnacentral:rRNA from 1 species
UAGUAAUAGUUAUGUUCUUGAAACUUAAAAAAUUUGGCGGUAUUUUAGUCUAUUCAGAGGAACCUGUCCUAUAAUCGAUAAUCCACGUUGGACCUUACUUAAAUUAGUCAAUCAGUUUGUAUACCGUCGUUAUAAGAAUAUUUUAUUAGAAUAAUAAUUUUCUAGAAUUUUUAUAAAAAUUUAUAUCAGAUCAAGGUGCAGCUUAUGUUUAAGUAGAGAUGGGUUACAAUAAAUUUAUUUAUAUGAAUUAAUUUUUGGAAUAAAAUUAUGAAGGUGGAUUUGAAUGUAAAAUUAUAAAGAUUAAUAAUUUGAUUUUAGCUCUAAAAUAUGUACAUAUCGCCCGUCACUCUUAUUAUUAAGGUAAGAUAAGUCGUAACAUAGUAGAUGUACUGGAAAGUGUAUCUAGAAUGCAAUUUAAAGCUUAAAUAGUAAAGCAUUUCAUUUACAUUGAAAAGAUUUUUGUGCAAUUCAAUAUAGAUUGAAUAAUUUUUAUUUAUUAAUAAAUUUAUUUUUUAUUAUUUUAUAUUAGAAAUAACUAUAUAAUAAAAUGUUUUAGUAUUUUAUA